GACGAACGCUGGCGGCGUGCUUAACACAUGCAAGUCGAACGGAAAGGCCCUGCUUUUGUGGGGUGCUCGAGUGGCGAACGGGUAAGUAACACGUGAGUAACCUGCCCUUGACUUUGGGAUAACUUCAGGAAACUGGGGCUAAUACCGGAUAGGAGCUCCUGCUGCAUGGUGGGGGAUGGAAAGUUUCGGUGGUUGGGGAUGGACUCGCGGCUUAUCAUCUUGUUGGUGGGGUAGUGGCUUCCCAAGUCUUUGACGGGUAGCCGGCAUGAGAGGGUGACCGGGCACAAGGGGCCUGAGGGACGGAGCAGAGUGGAACGGGAGGCAGUAGGGGGGAAUAUUGCACAACGAGCGGAAGCGUGGGGCAGCAACGCCGCGUGCGGGAUGAGGGCUUUCGGGGUGUAAACCGCUUUUGCCUGUGACGAAGCGUGAGUGACGGUAAUGGGUAAAGAAGCACCGGCUAACUACGUG
rnacentral:rRNA from 1 species